UGGUGGAGUGAUUUGUCUGGUUAAUUCCGUUAACGAACGAGACGUCUGCCUGCUGGUUGGCGCGCGGUACGCGAGUAGCGCGUGCUUCUUAGAGGGACGGCGGACUGAGCGUCCGCGGAAGCGAGACGCAAUAACA
rnacentral:rRNA from 1 species